rnacentral:rRNA from 1 species
UAGGGAAUCUUCCGCAAUGGGCGAAAGCCUGACGGAGCAACGCCGCGUGAGUGAUGAAGGUCUUCGGAUCGUAAAACUCUGUUAUUAGGGAAGAACAAAUGUGUAAGUAACUAUGCACGUCUUGACGGUACCUAAUCAGAAAGCCACGGCUAACUACGUGCCAGCAGCCGCGGUAAUACGUAGGUGGCAAGCGUUAUCGGGAAUUAUUGGGCGUAAAGCGCGCGUAGGCGGUUUUUUAAGUCUGAUGUGAAAGCCCACGGCUCAACCGUGGAGGGUCAUUGGAAACUGGAAAACUGGAGUGCAGAAGAGGAAAGUGGAAUUCCAUGUGUAGCGGUGAAAUGCGCAGAGAUAUGGAGGAACACCAGUGGCGAAGGCGACUUUCUGGUCUGUAACUGACGCUGAUGUGAGAAAGCGUGGGGAUCAAACAGG